rnacentral:ncRNA from 1 species
UCACAGGGGUGCCCGGAGAGGCUGAGAAGUGCGCAGAUUGCGCAAAACCCUUACUACUUGAUCCGGAUAAUACCGGCGGAGGGAGGCAGACAUUUA